AUUAGUGUAGGACCUGGCAACCAAAAGUAAUUCUUCUCGCCCUCUCCUUCUCCAUCGCCACCCUUUUCACCGCCUCUUUCAAGCCACGCGUCCGUAGAAAACCUCCCACUUUUGUCUCAAGAAUUUACUACUCCUGCAACUUCCGUCUCCAUUUUCAUUGGACCGUCCGCAUCCUGAUCAAAUGGAUCCUACGAGCUCAUGCCUUCAAGACCUGUAAGCAAUUGAUCUUCCUAACCUUUUCC
rnacentral:misc_RNA from 1 species